GAGACACUUUACAUGAGAGUGUUUAUAGUGCUGUGAGUUUAACACUUCAUGACUGAGAGCAGAACACAACACAAUCUUCAUCAUCACACAAGACUCAACUACUACAAUGAACAACAUCCUCAUCCUCAUCUGGACUCUGACUCUCUGUAUUCAGGAGAUCUGGGGACAAGUAACAGUGACUCAGAAUCCAGAAAUAAAAUCCAUCAAACAAGGAGAAACUGUUACGAUCAGCUGUAAAACCAGUCAGAGUCUUAUUUCUGGCUGUAGUGACUGUGUGUCUUGGUAUCAGCAGAAACCUGGAGAAGCUCCUAAACUCCUGAUUCAUGACAUAAACAGACUCCAGUCAGGAACUCCAUCUAGAUUCAGUGGAAGUGGAUCAAGCUAUGGAAGUGAUUUUUCUCUGACUAUCAGAGACGUCCAGACUGAAGAUACAGGAGAUUAUUACUGUAUGGCUAUAAACUAUAUCAGUAAUAGCUGGGUGUUCACACAGUGA